GUUUUCGUAGUGUAGUGGUUAUUACGUUCGCCUCACACGCAAAAUGCCCCCGGUUCGAACCCGGGCGAAAACA
rnacentral:tRNA from 1 species